AACGAACGCUGGCGGCAGGCCUAACACAUGCAAGUCGAGCGAGGACUUCGGGUCUAGCGGCGGACGGGUGCGUAACGCGUGGGAAUGUGCCCUUCUGUACGGAAUAGCCCUGGGAAAGGGGGAAUAAUACCGGAUAAGGCCUAUUGGCGAAAGAUUUAUCGGAUAAGGAUGAGCCCGCGUUGGAUUAGGUAGUUGGUGGGGUAACGGCCUACCAAGGCGACGAUCCAUAGCUGGUUUGAGAGGAUGAUCAGCCACACUGGGACUGAGACACGGCCCAGACUCCUACGGGAGGCAGCAGUGGGGAAUGUUAGACAAUGGGGGAAAGCCUGAUCUAGCCAUGCCGCGUGAGUGAUGAAGGCCUUAGGGUUGUAAAGCUCUUUUAGCUGGGAAGAUAAUGACGGUACCAGCAGAAUAAGCCCCGGCUAACUCCGUG
rnacentral:rRNA from 1 species